rfam:Myotis lucifugus cont2.33606, whole genome shotgun sequence.
GGUGGUUUUCGGGUGAUGCACCCUGGAAUCAGGCUCCCUCAUCUCUGGUUCUGUGUGCAUCACCCGAGAACCACU